GGUGAGAACAUGGUUUAGUCCGGAAGCCACGCCUCCAGCCUGGCCGUUGGGAGGGAAACACAACACAAAACAGAGAGAGGUGAGACCGCCUUGCAGACACAGCAGGCCCCGGCAAGACUGCAGAGACCAGGCCAGGGUAGACACCGCCUCAGAGCAGGUGGAAAGUGAGGCCAGGAAAGAGAACAGCUGGCGAAGUCAACAGUCUCCAGAUGAGGCCAAAUGCUGUGUGGACAAGUUGCUUGUGAACCGAAAGCAAGCUUCCUCCCAUUUGAACUCACCCCUGACGCUUCAGACACACGUCCACUCCUGACCCAAGUUCGGAGUGGAAAGGCCGUUCUCCCUGGGGUCACCGUUUCAUGAGUAGAGUGUAGAUAGAUCACUGUGUAUCGUGUAUUAUGACUGGAGUGGCGUAGGAAACAGCAUUGGGCCAGGAGCUCAACCACCAUAAUAAGCAAGCACCCAGCACUGUCAAGACAUUACGUUCCCCUGCGUGUUUCCUGCCUCAGAUGCCUGCUCUGGCUGUCUGCUGAUGCUUAGGAAAUCGCUUCCUAAAUGUUUUCACUUGUUCCUUCAGUCUCUCAGACGUUAGAAAUUAAAGUGACACGGUGGCUUUCAAA